UUCACAGAGCAUGGAGUUUCUUUUCGUCUCACGCUGUGGGUUGCACUUCAGUGAUGGUAUACAGUGGGUAUACUGGUGCAGUUGUGAUAGUGCACGUGGCCACUUACUAAAUAGCUGCUCCACUUCGGUUGAUUCCACAUAUGAUGCAUUCACAAGCAUUGUUGGCUCUAAAUGUAUCCACAUUGAAGCAACUAGACUGAUUAUCCAAGAGACUGACAAUAUUCACAAUAUUACAUCAGCUCAAGAAUUAUCAGAUCAUUCGUAUGCUUUGAAUAUCGAACCUCACAAGGAGGACACCUCCUACAGUAUAAAUGUUGGCACAGAGGUUGUAUGCUCUAUUGGGCAGGCGGUAUGUACAAGAGCUGAUAUAGUGGCCAUGGUGUUGCACAAGUUCGUAUUCAUGAUAAACAAUUAAGGGGUCUGUACUGUUGUACAUGCAAGUACAAUAAACAGCACAGUUCCACAUGUGGACAUUGUCGAGAAAGCAUUGAAUAGCCCGGAUGAGGAUAAACAUGACUGCCUCAAUAAAAUUGCAAAAGAUCUGUCUAGUGUGCAGCAGAAUAGACAAGUGCAUGUGCAUCAGUAUCGGUCCCUUAAUUUCAUCAAGCAGUAUAUAUACCGUUCAAUUUAUCAAGUGAAUUGUCUCAACAACUGGCAUGUACUGUAGCUGAUCGCUUCAACAUUGUAAACAACACUUCUAUUUUGGGCUCAGUCGACACAUAUUGUAAAGUGUGCAGUACGCUUACACGAGAUGAAGUAGCAGGAAUCUGUACGGAGCAAAAUUAUACUGCUCAAUACAGUUAUCAAUGCGAAUGUGCAUGUUAGGUAUUGCUCAGGAUCUAAGAAACGUAAAGAAUUUGAUGGCCAACUAGUAGGAUUAGUGACUAUGGGCAAGUUCCUGGUAUCCUAUGAAGUUCUGCGAGGUUUUAUGCAUCAAUUCCUUUUGGGAAGAACAACUAUAUAUACCCAGUAUUGUGUGUUGGUUAAAAACCAUGAAGAUGCAGGAUUCGGCGAUCAGUUUAAUAAGUAUAUGUUUACAUACAAUCACUAUCGGUUGUCGUGGUAUGCCUUUCUUGACCUGUUAGACAUUGAUUAUCAAGUAGGAUUUCAGUGCACUGCGUGUGGAGAUUGUCCACCCAUUGUUGUCAUGGAUGCUACUUGUUUAGCAUUCAGAAAAGACCUUUUAUGCCCUGGAAGUCCCAACUCAACGGUUCUGGAAUUCAUAAAACCUCAUCCCCUAUCAGCUGUACUGGAAG